GGAAUAGAAACUAUAAAUACUGAAAUUUAUGUAAAGUCAGUUCACUGGUCUAUUCUUUUAUGGGAACUAUUUGGAAUCAGUCUGGGUCUGCAACUCUUCUAUGGGAAAUGAGUCGAAGAGCUACAGCAGGUGCUUUAAAGUAAUAAGGGAUUUCCUGUGAAAUGCAGUGGACUGAUGACUCACAGUUUAAUUACGGCGUAGUCUUCUGUUAUAAAAGCGGGACAAUCAUUUUUAAAAGGCUCAUGUUGAGUAAAUGAGUUUGACCAGAAAAUCUUUGAUAGAGGAAAGCAGAUAACCAUAUUUUUUUUUAAGAAGCAUAAGUUUUAUAGAGAAUGUCUUCAGACUGACAUGAUGAUUAGUGUUGCGUGAGUAUCCCCAGAGUAACUGGAUGGAUCAGCAGUAACUGGUUUUGUGCAGUCUGGAUUGUCCUAAUUUUCAGUUUCUGAAUUUUUUUUCAGUUCAGUCGUUUGAUUUAUUCCUGAAUUAUAUAUAUCCCAGACAUACAUUACCAUAGUUCAUGCUGCUUCAGUAUGGAUGGAGUAGGGUUUUUUGUUUGUUUAUUUGGAUUUUGUUUGGUUUGGGGUUUGUUUGUUUUCUUUAAAAAGAAAUAGCUAAAAUUACCAUUACUAUUUCUUAAUUUCACAAUACUGUUCUCUUUUAGCAAGUCAUGGGAAACAAGGCAGGGUUUAUAAAAUGGUGAACUACCUCCUGUUGCUGUCUAUGGGAAUUUUACUGUUUGCUUGGAAAACCACAAUCCUUCACCCCAUAAAAUGGGAAACAAGAUCUUCUAUAUCCACUGCAUAUCUGCUCUAAGUAAUACACACCUCAGAUGUGAUGAGCGCUACAGAGGAGAAUUUUCUUCUCAGUUUUGAAUCCCAAUACUUUUGGCUGCAACAAGCAGCAACUAUUCCUCAGGGACCGUCCCAGAGGAGUGUAAUGAUCUGUCGAUCCUGACAACAUUGUCCACUUCCCAUGACCUUUUUGCAGUUUGCUUUGCAGAGACUAGAAAAGAUGCAUCUACAAUAAUGUUCCUCUUUUCCCAGUUGCAUCUCUCUGUAGUGAUGGCACCAGCAAGACCUCUAAAGGAAGAGAGGACUCUCAGGAUGAAGGAAGCCAUGCUGACCAGGUAACUUGAAACCAGCCUACCUACAAUUACCUGGGGGAAAAUAGGAGGGGGAAACCACACAUUUGAGCUUCAGGGGCUUUUUCAGAACAGCAAUGUGACUGUCAUUUAAAACAGAAAAGAAUCAUCAAGACUAUUUUCAUUUUAGCUUACAUUUGAACAUUUCAGAAGACAAAUAGUCUUCAAACUUUCCAAAACGCUUGGGGUUCUUCAAAAUUGAAAUACUUUGAUGUACUGAGACAAAUUGAAUCCAGGAUCCCUUUGCAUGGGCAGGAGAAGUAAUAAAGCUGCUGACUGCUUCCAAUGGUUGAAUGUUUAGUCUAUGAACUUAACAGUGGUUCUGGAAACCAAAGCAAGAAUGAUUUUUAUUGCAGAUGGCCAUGAUGGUUUAAGUUAGGAGUGAAGUCACUACUCUGACAUACUUAUGAAACUGAAUAUUUGGCUACUUUCAUAUGUUACUGAAAUAAAGAUAACUUUAACUACAAAUAAUAUGAAUUGAUAUUUUGACACUUUGUAAGGGAAUUAAGAUAAGCUUCUUUAAAAAAAAAAGAAGAUACUGCAUCCGGAACUUACUGUAGCUCUAGCUAUCUCAAUCUGAUAUCUGCAUUUAUUUGAACACACUGCCUACAGAUUAAAUUCAAACUAUCUGUUUCUAAAGUAGUCCACAGGACUCAGGUGAAUGCUGUUUUCAUGCUACUUUCAGGAAUUGACUUUGGUAUGCAUACGUGGAAAAAAGUCUGUGGGCAGGCUGUAUCUGCCUUGAAAAGGCAGAUACCCUUGAAAUGACAGAUAAAGUAAGAAUAUAAGAAGAGGGUAGUACUGGAUACUCCAUUAUUUUCCCUAUGAAUUUAAAGUAACUUUAAAAAACUUAUGUUAAUUUAAUUGCUAAUUUUGACUUCUUGCCUGCCAGCUUAUUAUCUCAUCAUUUAAAAAGAGUUUGCUAAUAGUGGAAAAAACUCAGCAUUACUUACAGUGGUUUAAAUUUUACAAGAGCAAAGUAAUUGGAUCAUUUCCCUGAACAAAUGGAAAUCACUGAUUUCUUAUACAGGAAGCUAACAAAAUAGACAAACAUGGAAGGACACUCUCUAUUAAUUUAAAAUCUAUUUCUUUGUCUAUACAUUGGAAGACUUCAAUUAUAGCUAUGCAGAAAUCACUGUCCCAGGUGUUGAAAAACAAAUUGUUCUUGUUCUUCCCAAAAUCAUGAACUCCACUUUUAAAGAGCUUUAUUUUUUAAAUAAUAAACUUUUAGUUCUUUUUUUUGCCUUUGGCUUUCAAGAUUUUUAGCAUGCACUUGGGUCAUGUUUUCACACUUUUCUGUUCAGCUAAAAUAAAUUAAUUUUUUUAAUAUGACACCCAAGAGUCUCACAUAAUAACAUUACCUCAGGAAACGGGGCUUGAGGAAAAAUACUAAAUAUUGUGACACUUUUGAUAAAAGCAUGAAAGUAAAUAACUAUAAAAUAGUAGUAUAUUAUGUGUGUUUAAAAACUGAUUUUAGGACAUCAGAAGGUUGCCAGACUAAAAAUAAGCCUUUCUCAGUUGUGCAUUUAUGAAAUCAAACAGGCCUAAAAAUUCUGUGAUACUCCUGAAACAGAGCUCUUCCAACAACAAGUAGCUAGUCUGUGCUCUAGAUAGAUAAUUGUGGUAUUUUUUGUGAGAAACAAACAAAACCAACCAAACAAAAAACCACACACACUAAUAAAUAGAUUUAUGGUGAGGAAUCAUCUGUAUCUUGCUAGUCUUCUAUGUGAAAACAGACAGAAAUUAUUCCAUCUCUACACCUCCAGAAGAAAAGGAAACAGCAGCAAGCAAAGAAAGGAUCAGGGAUGAGGAGGGAGCUUAAGGAGGAAAAAAAAGCCCCAAAACCAAACAAAACCCUACAAAUCAAACUGUGGUUCUGGAAGCACGUGAACCUUCUGGGCUGAGUGCAUCUCACUGGAAAAAAUAAUCAUGUCUACUGAACUGCAUCAAUUCAGGACUUCUGUCUUCAUUAUUUAUACCAUCCUAAAAAUCUCUUCCAUUUGUGAAGUCUGUAAACACCUCAACUCUCUACAGGUCUAAGGUUUAUCCAGCUCAUAGUAGUUUUUCUUGAUCUGAUCUUGACUCAAACACAUGAGGACCUGUUGUCAUUAAAUUUGAUGAAGAUUCUUUUCUGCUCCCAGAGACUGAUAUGACCGAUACAAUAGGUCAUGCAAGAUUUGGCUGCCAGCUGAAGGAAGCAAAAGACACAUCUCCUAUACCAAUGGGAUUGAGGUGUUAAAAAGCAGCCAAAUAAUUCUGCAUGACAUAUUUCCCCCAAACAGUGCACAUUUGAAAGCCUUUACUUAAGAUUCAAACGCAAUUAUUAACUACAUUUUCCAUACCCUCUAGUUUUCUCAACUAGAAGACUAAAGUGUAACAUAAAGGUUCUGACAAAAAAUAAUUAUAUACCGAAGGCCUUGAGGAGUCCUCUCUGUAUUCACUCAAUGACAAGUAAUUCCAGUGAAGAAGCAUCACCUCCUCAUUUGCUUCACAAAGCCAGAACUUCAGAACGCAUCCUGCUUCAGAUUACAAGCCUUUUAAACCCUAACACACAAUACGUAUCAGUAUGAAUUUAUUCUAUUGGGCAGCAAUUUCAGGUAGGGCUCAGUGACAAACACUAUAAACAAAUGCAACAACAGUGCCAGCGAUACCCGAAGUGAAUGUUUACAGAGUCCUUUGGUUUUGUGUCACUAAGAACAGGUUCUCCUGAUUGUGAACAAACUCAAAUUUUAGACACUGGUUAAAUUUCUAAUGUCAACCCCAUCUCACCUGACUAAAUAAUUCCCUGUUUCUAAGCUAUUUUUGACAUUCUAUUCUGGAAGUUGAAAUCGACACCUCCAUUUUCAAAGCAGUACUUGUAGGUAUAUAAUAACCCUUUCUCUAGAGGCUUGAUUGCAACCUGCCUUGCGGUUUGAACUGAUUGUGGUUGCCCAGCUUUGAUCCCUUUUUAAAUGCAACAGUUGGCCUAAUUCUAAUUUUUUUUGACAAAAAUGCAGUGUCAGACUGAGCCUAAGAAUUGCAUUAUAGGUGUUCUGAACUUAAACAAUAUCACUGAGGGUUUUUUUUAAAUGUCUUUUAGUUUGUUGUGCUAUUGGGUGCCAAGUAUUAGCUCACCAACUAUUCAAAAUAAUCGUUAUUUUGUUGAAAAGAAAUACAGCAACCAAGGAGCUUGCCUUUAUGGUAGCCACUGUUCAAUGUAAAAAAUAAAUCACACCUGAACAAUGCUUGUAGCUCACCCAGUACCAGCAGCUUAACCAUGGAACUAAGAAGUGCUACAGUUUGUAGAAAACUAUUAGAAAAAGCAGGAAGCCUUACUAGAAGUUUUCAGCUAGUUCAUUUGUUUGAUGACAGCUGCUUUGGCAAUUACCCCUUCUCCUGACCUUACGGUCUACCACAGUAUGCUUCAGAGAUCUCUGAGAAGGGCGACUAUUACACCUAAUGUGUUCGGACAAGUCUACCAUGUGUGCCAAUUAAUAAGAAUGGCAUAUUCUAUUCUGUAUUUUCCAUUACAAAUAUUGUCCUGCAUUUAUGCAACCUGCACAUCUGCUUACCUUCUCUAACUAAUGAUAAUGGAUGUAGGAGGGUGCAGGGAACACAAUAUUCCCUCAAGUGAUAUUUUCAGGGAGAGAGAGAUCUCCUUCUUCUACAGAAAGGUAGGAAUCUGAACCAACAACUUCUUAACAUGGAGGAUAGAUUUUCUAUGAAAUUCUCCUCUUCAGAUACAGGAGGAAGAAAUAUUCACCCAUCCAUGAAUGUAACUCAUGAAAGGAUCUAGGAGGUGGGAAGACAACUGCAGGUCAUACUUCGCAAUACUCACAUUUAAACCAUGAGAAGAAAAUUUCUAAUCUGUUACAAAAAAGCUGCACUUCUGCCUCUGGUAUUAUAAAACAAACACAAUUAGUAUUAAACAGUUCAUGGCAACAGGUGCCUGGUAUACUUCAUAAUGUCAGUUAGCUCUGUAACCAAAGAUACACUUUGGCUUCAUUUCAUUUUCUAACAUUGCAUUUCUCGUUCUAAAGUAGUCUUUAAACAUUUUGUAAGCUAAACUACAUGAAACAAAAGAAGAAAAGGUGCUGUAAUACAUUGCUGCAUAAAAAAAAAAGCCAUUCAAAUGUUUCUGCUGUCCUGUUUCAGUGACAUUUGUGAAUAAACGAAUGUCUGUGUUAAGAAAAGCUCCCAUAUUACAUUGUUCAUGCAAUUCAUUACAUGAGCAGUUUAUAGCCUUCUAAUAUUCACAUUGAGGCAAACCCACCUGUAUCGGUGAUGAGAUUUAUAACCCAGGCUCUGACUGAAAACACAGCGUACAUUUUUUUCUCCCUGAAAAGCAAAUUCCCUCUCUUUUUAUGUGAGCACAAAUGGCAUGAGCACAGAACAACUGGUACUCAGGAGGAUAGUAGCAGCAAGAUGCAGAUGUUGUAAGACUGCAAAUGUACAUAAAGCAGAAUCUCCAUAGAAAAGCAAUAUUACCAGGGAGGUUUGUGAUGUUGCUUAUCAGCUGCAUGUUCAGCAGUAUUGCAGAACUUGGAGUGCGAUCUUGGAAGCUGUCAGGAUUCUUGCCUGGAGGGUUCAACUCUACUAAAUUUUGAUAGUGUGAACAGAAAUAAAAUGUUUCUGCCUUUCCACAGUUUUGGCAAGGGAUCUCUGUAAAGCCUGGUGCACUGGCAGCCAUAUGACCUGCUUAAAAAAAAACCAGCAGAAUCCUCCACAUAUUUGCAUAACUUCCUGCUAAAUCUUUACAUAUAUGUUAAAUUUUUACAUACCUUGUUCAGGUAUUCAAAAAAACCCACCUUCUUUCCCAUUCUCUGUCCAGCACAGUGACACCUAUUUACUUAAAAAUUAAGAAAGAAGACCAAAUCCAAAUAGAAUAUUAUUUCUUUCUACAAUACUUUUCCUUUUUGGGACAUUCAGCUCUGUCUAUGAGCUGAUGUUAGAUUUGAAGACACACCUCAUCACAAUUUUAGCAUUUUUUAACUUUACCUAUGAGAUAUGUGACUUCUAGAUUAUUAAAUUAUCCUGUAAAUUGUUGCAACUGAUUUAAUUGAUUAUAUUACUUAAAUUGCAUGGUAUUUUACACCCUGUAAAGAAGCCUUUCGCACAAGUCACAAGGUAAAGAUGCUGUAAUGUUUUUAAAAGCCUCUUCCAAACAUUGCAAUGCAUAUGAAAUGACAAGUAUUCCUGUACAGCACUGAUUACCAAAACACAGGUUAUACAAAGAUGGUGAGUGAAUGCAGGUCUGCGAAGACAGGAGGGUUUCCAUUGAUUCAUUACUGGUGCUUAUUAAUUUAAUAACAAAAUCACUUCGAAAUUCCCAAGGUUUCUGUUCUCAGCUACACAGAUCUCUUGCUGUAACUUCAAAUAUUUGAGGGAAUACUGCAUUUUCUAUCAGACAAAACAAUAAGUAUGACUAUUAAUAAGCUGUUGAAUAUUUCAGCACUUCUGAAAUAUAAACUCUACAGCUUAUAGGAUCGGAGCUACUGUUUGCAAUUUGCUGUCAGAUGCAAAGGGAUUGUUCUAAUAUGUUUGGUAUUACCACCAGCUAAUCCUUUUCUGAUUUCUGUGAAUAUGUCACAACCUAGUAAAAUAGAACUAUGGGGUGGUGUUUUGUAAGCAAUGCAAUAAUAAAUACCGAAAUAAAGUUUUCUUAAACCCAAUUUAGCCUGCAAAUAACAGCUUGAGGAAUGCUUUCUGGAAUCUGACCUAUUAUGACUUGGAGCCAAUUUUCACAGGAAAAAGAUCUGAAAUAGUAUCUCAGCAUUAAACCUUUAGGCUGGGAUUCAGAAUAUACUUACUCUUCUUAGUAUGUAUAGGUUAUUUUUAGCUUAGUGCAUUAGUAGAACCAACAGUAAAAGAGGAUUAUGAGUUUUAUUCUGACAACUCCUGGGUGUUUUGCUCAAAAUGUAUAGGAUGUUUGAAAAAGAACAUUUUGAUUUUCUAUUUCUACUUCUUGUGGAGAAACAUGAGGUUCGUUUUGGAUUUUAUUUGGCUUAAUAAUAUUAAUAAUAACAAUUUUAAAAUUGCUUGAGUUUAGGAGCCCAAAAUCAUAUAAUGUCCCAAAAUAAACCUUGCCUUUCAUGACACAUCCCCAUCCAAUAACAUCAGUGGUGUCACAAAAAAAUAAAACUGAAGCUUUAGAGAAAAAGCAAGAAAAAUCUGGUUUUAGUUUACUUUUACAAUAUCUCUGAAUGAUGCCCAGCUGAUGUGCUGAUGAAAGAGGCUGGUGGUGCUUUGGUAGAUAUAUUGUGUUAGCUUGCAACUCAUACUAUUGUCUCGUACAUCUAUUAAGGAGCACCAGAAAUUUCAUUUUAGAGAGAGAUUCGUUAUUUUUGAAUGAUCCCCUUUUGUCUGAAACAAAGUAAAACCAGAAAACAAGGGAGAAGCCUUGCAAAAUGAAAGUUUAAGGAAAAAAAUGCUUUUUGAUCAAAUUAAACUGUGUAAUUUCAGGUUAGGUUGCUCCCACUGCACACAGGGCUGUAGGAAAUUUUAAAACAGUGAAACACACAAUCCUCUUGAAACAGAAAAAUUAAUUUUCAAAUGCAAACUUUCAAUGUCAUCAUUAGAAUAUCUGGUCAAAACAAACUUUACUCUGAGGUCACACCUUACUAUCCUGCUGUAAAUCUUGGACAAAUUACUUGUUCUGUGAUGAAAACAAGUUCAUCUGGAAACCUUCUGAACGUGAGCACUGAGCUACCUCUUUUUUUUACUUUUGUUUGGCAGAGGAGCAUUCAAUGUCUGUAAUUUGGUGCUCAGGACUUCCAUGUCCCACACAACAUUUAUUUGAAGCAUUUUUACUUAUAAUAGCUUAGGCUUAAAUCUUACUUUAAGGAGCCUUUCUUUCCCAGACUUGAGAAAUUUGUCCCACCUUGAUUAAUAGAUCACAAAGACUUUAGGGAAUGGACAGACGUGAGUGGUAGCAGCAGCAGCAAUUGGUAUGUCAGUAUUAGUGGGAAGAUACAGUCAGGUGAAAACAUAAAGCACAUAUAAAUACCUGACAUAAAGAAGCAACACAGUACAGAAGAUAAAAAUGAUUCCUUAGUGAAAUGGAUUUUGAAGCACGAGGUGUAGUGUUUGGUAAGGAGAGGAAAUUAAAUUUUACUUUGAAAUUUUAGAUCAUGUAUCUUAUUUUUUAAAGAGAUUUACUGAUAAGAUGGUUAUCAACUUAUAUAAAAUAUUGUACUAGAUGGUCUUUUAAAUGACAGACUUUCACAGACUCGUAUUUUAAUGUGUGAUGUUUUGGGAUAAUACAGUAUAUCAGAGCUUCCCAAAUUAUCUCACAGCAUAAAUCAUCUUUAAAUGAAACACCAUGUUCUUAGACAACUUCUCUUUUGAAUUACUUUUCUAUUCACAGCUGCCCACCACCCCUUUAGCAAUAAGACAAUGCAUGGACACACCCCCAGCCCCCACCCACCCACUCUGCUUGAGACACACAUCAGGUUCCUAGAGCUUUUACCUGCAGCAGAGUUUCAGACAGCUGCUUACCUUGUAGGCGUCAUCCCCACGCUGCAGCUGCUUUCUGUGGGAAUGUAUUUAGGGACUUAGGUGCUCGUUUCCAUAAUCACUUAAUGGUUCCCGUGGCUCCAGGGAUGGGGCAGAGCAGCAGUUUGGGUGGCGUUCCUGGUUGCUGAAGAGCAGCCUUCAGCUCGUGCUCAGCGGCAGGCCAGGAGCCGCUGGGGUCUGGACCCACUGACCAGAGAAGUCGUUCACCACCAGCUCUGAAAGCAAAUGUACGCUCUGUUCUUGUUCUGUUUCCAACCUGUAAUUCAAUGUAGCAAUUAAUUACUUACUUCUUUAAGUAAUUAAUUAUUAACUGCUUAAGAAUUAUUACAAUACUUUAUGUAGAAGUAAAAGUUACUUAAGGGUUUUAGAAAAUUCUUCAAGAAAGCAAUUAUUGCUAGUUGUAGUCAAAAUUGUUUGUUAUAAUUAUUAACAGUGAUCUCUGCGUAGACAUAAUUAGACUGAAAGCAAUUUUAUAGUGGUGCAGUAUAAUUAUGUCAUUAAUAAGAAAAAUAACAGAUUAUAUUACUCUAAUUUUACAUAUUAUACGUUUAAGAGCUUGCCAAAUUAAGAACAAAGCACUGAAUUAAAAAAAAAAAAAAAGUGCACAAAGUUUUGGGAUUAUUUCUCACACUAAUAACAUGUUAAGGCAGAGCUUAAAAACCAAAGAUUAUUGUUAAGUGCUUAUAAAUGUGAAUUGAAGUUUUCAAUAUAUUUCAACUUCAGAUCUCAAGUUCAUUGCUCUCCAGUAGUUCUAAACUCUUAUGCAGUUUCUACUCAACCAAAUUCUUGGGGAAUGUAUCUUUCAGAGAUACCCAUGUUUGCCUGAUGAACAAAUAAUUUAUUUCACAUUUGUAAUUGAUUAUUGGUUACUUUUCUGCUAGAAUUACUCUCAGGCCCAUUUCAGCAUAAUUUAAGCACAGGCUUAGCAGUAAGCAAACAUUUGAGGUAUCCCACUGAACUCUAUUUGUUUAGUCUUCCUUUUUUUUCCCUGUAUUUUUUCAUAAGGUCUCAAUACAUUCUUGACAGUAAGAAAAUGGCUAAGGGGCUUUCUAAAUUUAAGCACAAAUUAGUAAGGAAAAAAGGUAAUUUCAGAGCAUAGUCAUAAAGUAUUAACUAAUGAUACAGAGUGUUUCUCUUUGAAACAAUCAAAGAAAUGAGUUUCUGGUUUUUAAUAAAAUGAAACUAUAUAUCACAAAUUAAAAGAAAAUUUGCCGAAAA